rnacentral:tRNA from 1 species
GGGGAGGUGGCCGAGUGGCUAAAGGCGCACGCUUGCUAAGCGUGUGUACCGAAAGGUACCGAGGGUUCGAAUCCCUCCCUCUCCG